AUGGGGCCUGCAAUUUUUUUUAACACGAUACAGACGCAAGCGCUCAUAUACACACGCACACCGUAUCCCUAUGAGCACCUUCGAAAGACUGAGCCGGCAUAUCAUCUUGAAUGCAUUUUGGCUCAAGUAAUUAAAUGCCUAGAAAAACAUGUUUUUUUAGAGACACGUUUUGGGCCGAGAGGCCGCCGCAGUUGUGUUUUAUUCUUGGGCCGAAGAUGCGGGAGACACGGAGCUGACAGCAGAGUGUCCCCCUUCCGGGUUCGGCAGCUCGCCUCCACCAUCUCGUACGCGCCGCCGCCGCCGUCGUCCCGUCCGUCGCCGCAAUCCCCAUCGCGCUUUGAGGUGCAAGCAGGAGCAGCCCGCGCACCGGGGUACGGGAUGAAGAAGAGGAAGAAGGUGGAGGAGGACGAGGAGCAGAAGCAGCCGGCGGCGGAGGAGAGCUCCUGUGGGGUCGAACUGCUGCCGGAGAUCCUCCGGGAGAUCCUGUCGCGGGUGCCGUACCGGUCGCUGUGCCGCUUCAGGUGCGUGUCGAAGGCGUGGCUGGCGCUCUGCUCCGACCCGGCCGUCCGCAGGAGGUCGCCGCAGACGCUCUCCGGCUUCUUCUGCUACUCCCAGCACGACGUCGGCGGCGGCCAGCGCCGUGACGCCCUCGGCUUCCUCAACCUGUCCGGGCGGGGCCGGCCGCUGGUCGACGACCCCUCCCUCCGCUUCGUGCGCGUGCGCGGCUACUGCGACGUCACGCCCCUGCACUGCUGCGGCGGCAUCCUCCUCUGCUACUGCGAGAAGGCGGCCAUGAGCGACGACGGGAACUACGUCGUGUGCAACCCUGCCACCAAGGAGAUCUGGGCCGUGCUGCCCGUGCCCCGAAACAAGAUCAUGACACGCCUCAACACCGCCCGCCUCUGCUUCGACCCCGCGGCCCCCGGCCGAUUCGUGGUGUUUGUGUUCGUGCAAAGUUUUCGCGGGAUUCAGACGGUGGAGGCCUAUUCCUCGGACACUGGACGGUGGACCUCCAUGCGGAGCGAGUGGAACCCCAAGACCCUCCUCCUCGGUGAGGAUUCAGAAUGCGUCUUCUUGAACGGCACUUUGCAUUUGGUCGACGCCGACCAUUCUGAUGCCGAUUUUGACUGGGAGGGGAACCUGAUACGCUGGAUGGUGACUGUGGACAUGGAGGGUAAAACAUGGAGGAAGAUCCGAAUGCCGGAUUCCAUCUAUAAUGGUUUCAUCGGGCAGUCGCAAGGACGCCUAUACGCAACGCAUGUUGAAACUGAAGGUAGAUGCCGGCUAUCCGUUUGGGUUCUUGAGGAUUAUGCCAGCGGACAAUGGACCCUGAAGUGUACUGCCAGCAUUUUAGAAAUGCUAGGAAGGCCUCACCAUGAGCCCGGCGAACACUACACGCUGAUCGCGAUCCAUCCAGAGUGCAGUUUGAUCUUCCUAGUAGCGAGCCGUGGAAAAACACUUAUGUCGUACGAUAUGGAUACCAGUAAACUGAGUAUUAUCUGCACUUUCGGAGACCGCCAGCCACGAAGAUUUCAGCCGUACAUUCCGUGUUUUGCGGAGAAGCCUAAAUAA
rnacentral:rRNA from 1 species